CAGCAAGGUACCAGCACCAGGAAUUCUGAUGCUGUUUUCUGUAGUGUGUGUGUGUGUGUGUGUGUGUGUGUGUGUGUGUGUGUGUGUGUGUGUGUGUGUGUGUGUGUGUGUGUGUGUGUGUGUGUGUGUGUGUGUGUGUGUGACCUUGAUUAGCAGAAGAGCUGACGGAACGGUUCAUUUAACCUUUAAGAGUAACCCUCGAGUGACACGCCCACCUUUUAUAACGGAAAGAUUGACACUUUCCCUCCGAGAAUAUCUCACACCCAGGUGUAAAACGCGCAAUCCACCCCACAGAAUCGUAUGCAUGUCUUCCCCCCCUUGUGCAGAGCAGAGCGCUGAUGAGUCAGGUUGAACGCUGUCCGUUCGCCCGAAAUCCCCCAUCUUAACCCCAAGAACCCCAGGAAGAGAGAGACCAGGAGUGUGUUGCAGAGCGAGACAAGACUGUCUUGUCUUAUUUUUUUUCUUCUUCUGGGAACACUCUGUGUCCUAGCCAGAGCAGACACCCCAUCAGGCUGUCUGCAGGGCAGAACAACUGGGAUAGCCUGAUUCCACAACUCAUGUCUGUUCUUGCCCUUGCCUCAGAAAGCAUAUAUAGAGUUAGCGAUGGAGGGAGGGAGAGGAGAGGAGAGUUGGGGGAUGGUAGUAAGCACUGAGCCUCCAGCAAAUUCACGCUAGCCAAAUAUUGUACACUUUCCCUUGGAAAAAUAGCCUAGCCUCCCCCCGCAUUGUCACAAAACACACACAAGCUAGUGCCCUUUGCCUUCUUGUUUCUUAUCCCAGAUAACCGGCAGUGUAUGUGUUUGUGUGAGAACUCUGUUUAUCUGUCGUCGUCCCCCCCCCCAUUCAAGCUGAUACGGCCGGCCCCUUCUCUCGUGACUGGGAAAGGGUUUUCACAGGAAACUGUGAGUAAUUGUUAACAGGCGCUGCGACCAGUCUCUUCACGGCAUGUUGUUAUGCGUAAAAAUUAAAUGAACGAUUCUCUAGUUAUUUCCAAGCAGUUGCUCUUGGAGUUUGUUUCCUUUUUGCAGCUUGGGUACAGGGUCGGCUAUAUUUAGGCUGUUUAAUGUACCUGAAUGGCUAUUUGUUGGAAACGUUAAGCACUGUUCUGCCAGAGUAGGCACUGAGGCCUCUACUGAGUUGGUACCAAUGCAGGGGCAAGUUAAAUCCCUGGUGCACUAAAAACUAAUUUAUGGUCUUUUAAACGGUUUGGCUGGAAUACCGGGGUUGUGUGAACCUCUGCACAUGGCCUGAGGAACAAACCCACUGGCAUACCACGGAACCACACACACUUACACAAACACACUUAUACACACAGACAGACAUUGAUGAUGCAUCCUCCUCCGGGUUUGUCCUGUGUUUUGUAACCCCCCUACUGCCCCUCCAUCCUGCUCUCUGACUGGUCUGUGUUUACAGGUCUCAGGGGGGGGGGGGCCCUCGGGAGCCUAGUUAAAAAUCAUGGCACGCUAAGGAUGGGAAAGGACACGCCAUGAAAGGAAAAAGGAAAAAGAAGAAAUACACACUUUGUAUGCACACAUCAUAAACACUCACACGCACAGCAACACGCACAACCCGUCUCCUAUCGCCGUGUGUUCCCGACCCCCACACUUCUGCUUUUUUAUUCACAUUCACACCCCUGGCCCGUCAACGUGUGAUGGGUCGGCCUCCUCGCUGGGUGGAGGGUACACCUUGUGGCCUCCGAGCCCCCCCCCCCCCAUCCCUGUCUCUCUCUCACUGCACAUGCCUAAAUGGGACGAGAGGGUGGUGUAUAUAGCGUUU
ensembl:lncRNA